rnacentral:rRNA from 1 species
AUACGUAGGGGACGAGCGUUGUCCGGAAUUACUGGGCGUAAAGGGCGCGCAGGCGGAUAUUUAAGUCAGCUGUAAAAGGCAUGAGCUCAACUCAUGUAUGCGGUUGAAACUGGGUAUCUAGAGUGCUGGAGAGGUAGGCGGAAAUCCCGGUGGAGCGGUGAAAUGCGUAGAUAUCGGGAAGAACACCAGUGGCGAAGGCGGCUUACUGGCCAGCAACUGACGCUGAGGCGCGAAAGCCAGGGGAGCGAACGGGAUUAGAUACCCCGGUAGUCCUGGCCGUAAACGAUGAAUGCUAGGUGUGGGUGUCGAGAGGCAUCCGUGCCGGAGUUAACGCGAUAAGCAUUCCGCCUGGGGAGUACGAUCGCAAGAUUGAAACUUAAAGGAAUUGACGGGG